AACGAACGCUGGCGGUAUGCUUAACACAUGCAAGUCGAACGGAAACUUAGGAGCUUGCUCUUAAGUUUUAGUGGCAAACGGGUGAGUAAUGUAGAGGAAUCUCCCCAGCAGUAAGGAAUAACUUUGGGAAACCAAAGCUAAUACCAUAUAUUACCAUUUAUUUGGGAAAGAUUUAUCGCUGUUGGAUGAGCCUCUAUCGGAUUAGCUUGUUGGUGGGGUAAUGGCCUACCAAGGCGAUGAUCCGUAGCUGGUCUGAGAGGAUGAUCAGCCACACUGGAACUGAGACACGGUCCAGACUCCUACGGGAGGCAGCAGUGGGGAAUAUUGGACAAUGGGCGCAAGCCUGAUCCAGCAAUACCGCGUGGGUGAUGACGGUUUUCGGAUUGUAAAGCCCUUUUAGUAGAGAAGAUAAUGACGGUAUCUACAGAAAAAGCACCGGCAAACUUCG
rnacentral:rRNA from 1 species